AGCUUUGUGCAGUAUCGUAGCCAAUGAGGUUUAUCCGAGGCACGAUUAUUGCUAAUUGAAAACUUUUCCCAAUACCCCAUCAUGAUGACUUGAAAUAUAGUCGGCACUGGCAAUUUUUUAUGGUCUCUAUAGAUA